AGUGGCCCAUCGAAGAAUCCUGAACGUGACAGCUGUUAUUUCUCUCUGAGCACUGUACAAGUAAAGUGCCAUCAUGGGAGAUGGUGAAAUGGAGUGUUUCGG